rnacentral:rRNA from 13 species
UGUAGAGUUUGAUCCUGGCUCAGAUUGAACGCUGGCGGCAUGCUUUACACAUGCAAGUCGAACGGUAACAGGUCUUCGGAUGCUGACGAGUGGCGAACGGGUGAGUAAUACAUCGGAACGUGCCCGAUCGUGGGGGAUAACGAAGCGAAAGCUUUGCUAAUACCGCAUAAGAUCUACGGAUGAAAGCAGGGGACCGCAAGGCCUUGCGCGAACGGAGCGGCCGAUGGCAGAUUAGGUAGUUGGUGGGAUAAAAGCUUACCAAGCCGACGAUCUGUAGCUGGUCUGAGAGGACGACCAGCCACACUGGGACUGAGACACGGCCCAGACUCCUAC